rnacentral:tmRNA from 1 species
GGGGGCGAAAUGGUUUCGACGGGAUGUGUGAGUUGCGAAAAGCGAGCCGAGGGUGCCUACCUCCUCGUGAAAAAGGUUGGAGAAAAAUAAACGUCAAACCAAAUUACGCACUUGCUGCUUAAUAGAUAAGCGGCCGCUUUCCGUCUUUUGAUCAGAGAGACGGUAUAAGCGUCAAAUAUCUGAUCUUACCCAAUGAGAAGUGCUCUCGCCUGAUUGGGGAAAUUCAAGGGAGCUCGAUGAUUUGUACCGUGUCCAUGCGGGACAAAUCAUGACUUCAAAACAUGGACUGCGCUCGGAGAAGUUCGCUGCGCGUGCAUCUCGGACAUGGGUUCAAUUCCCAUCGCCUCCACCA